GGAUUUGAGCAUUUUUUAGCCCA
rnacentral:siRNA from 1 species